rnacentral:rRNA from 1 species
AGGCCGUAGCAAUACGGUGCUGACGAGUGGCGCACGGGUGCGUAACACGUAUGCAACCUACCCUUUACUGGGGAAUAACUCCGGGAAACCGAAGCUAAUACCCCAUAGUAUUAUUUAAAGGCAUCUUUGAAUAAUUAAAGAUUUAUUGGUAAAGGAUGGGCAUGCGCCCCAUUAGUUAGUUGGUGAGGUAACGGCUCACCAAGGCGAUGAUGGGUAGGGGUUCUGAGAGGAUUAUCCCCCACACUGGUACUGAGACACGGACCAGACUCCUACGGGAGGCAGCAGUAAGGAAUAUUGGGCAAUGGGCGAGAGCCUGACCCAGCCAUGCCGCGUGCAGGAUGACAGUCUUAUGGAUUGUAAACUGCUUUUAUAAGGGAAUAACCACCUUCACGUGUGAAGGUCUGCAUGUACCUUAUGAAUAAGCACCGGCUAACUCCGUGCCAGCAGCCGCGGUAAUACGGAGGGUGCAAGCGUUAUCCGGAUUUAUUGGGUUUAAAGGGUGCGUAGGCGGAUAUAUAAGUCAGUGGUGAAAUCCCUUUGCUUAACAAAGGCACUGCCAUUGAUACUGUGUAUCUUGAGUAUAAUUGAUGUGGGCGGAAUGUGUCAUGUAGCGGUGAAAUGCAUAGAUAUGACACAGAACACCGAUAGCGAAGGCAGCUCACAAGACUAUAACUGACGCUGAUGCACGAAAGCGUGGGUAGCAAACAGGAUUAGAUACCCUGGUAGUCCACGCCGUAAACGAUGAUAACUAGCUGUUUGCGAUAUACAGUAAGUGGCUAAGCG